rnacentral:ncRNA from 2 species
UCCGUAGGUGAACCUGCGGAGGGAUCAUUACCGAGUUAUCCAACUCCCAACCCCUGUGAAUUAUACCUUUAAUUGUUGCUUCGGCGGGACUUCGCGCCCGCCGGGGACCCAAACCUUCUGAAUUUUUUAAUAAGUAUCUUCUGAGUGGUUAAAAAAAUGAAUCAAAACUUUCAACAACGGAUCUCUUGGUUCUGGCAUCGAUGAAGAACGCAGCGAAAUGCGAUAAGUAAUGUGAAUUGCAGAAUUCAGUGAAUCAUCGAAUCUUUGAACGCACAUUGCGCCCGUCAGUAUUCUGGCGGGCAUGCCUGUUCGAGCGUCAUUACGCCCCUCAAGUCCCCUGUGGACUUGGUGUUGGGGAUCGGCGAGGCUGGUUUUCCAGCACAGCCGUCCCUUAAAUUAAUUGGCGGUCUCGCCGUGGCCCUCCUCUGCGCAGUAGUAAAACACUCGCAACAGGAGCCCGGCGCGGUCCACUGCCGUAAAACCCCCCAACUUUUUAUAGUUGACCUCGAAUCAGGUAGGACUACCCGCUGAACUUAAGCAUAUCAAUAAGCGGAGGA